CGCGGACAUCUUUCGAAUGGGCGGAAGUGCCUUGGACAUGAUUUCCUUGGAAUAGAUUUAGAGUCAGUCAUGCAAAGCUUCUCAAGGAGAAAUUUAUUUUUUUUAACCAUUUUUUCUAAAUAGUCCACCAUGGAGAGGGAUCGCAGUGGCUGACGCACACUGGAAAUUGCCUUAAGAUUAUAAUGGAGCUCACUUUGGGAGAAAGAGUCAUUGAGUUCAUUGAUUUGGAACAUGAUUAUCUGGAUGAUGAUGUCAUAGAUUACCCGUACUAUCACUGCCAGCACUCCAGAAGGGCACCAGACAGGGAACAGGAGCCCUAAAUAAAUAUUGGAUUGAUAUAAUUCUUUUGGAACAGAAAAGAAGACGAGAAGGGAGCAAAGAAAGAUGAGGGAUGCUUCAUAGUACUACCUGAUGGAAGACGAUAGCUCUUCACCAUCUGGCAUGAAUUAAAACUCUGAGAACUUCAGUUGUCAUGUUGAAUAGUUUGAUAUGGAAGAAUAAAUAAAAAGGGGGGGAUAUAAGUUUAUGAUUUCUAACAAAUCCAUAAAGAAAAAUAGUAUACCGAUAUGUAAUGCAUUCGGGGACACUGAAUAAACUGCACUCUCCCUUUAAGUACAACUCAGGCCCUAGAUUUCCCCCCCCCCCCCCCAUUUCUUCCCUUGGCAUAUAAAUAAUGCUGUUGCAGAUUUGUGUUAACAGCCCCUUCAUGGAACUGCAUAUAAUUGUCUUGACUUACUGUGUGUUUCAUGUGCUAUUAAACCUUGAUUAUAAAAUUCUGUCUCCAA
rnacentral:lncRNA from 11 species